ACCAGCGACACGAAGAGUUAUAAUCAUCCAUUGGAUAUAUACACCUAAUAUUGUUACUUCCCAAAACUAAAAUAAUAUACAUAGUUAUAUUAUUAUAGAGAAUUUCCAGUUAGUCAAUUCAGGGCAGCAACCCUGACCGGUAAGUUGUAUUCCGACAGUCAUCGGAAGAAGAAGAAACAUGUUGCGUGCAGUUUCCC